rnacentral:rRNA from 1 species
UACGUAGGUCCCGAGCGUUGUCCGGAUUUAUUGGGCGUAAAGCGAGCGCAGGUGGUUUAUUAAGUCUGGUGUAAAAGGCAGUGGCUCAACCAUUGUAUGCAUUGGAAACUGGUAGACUUGAGUGCAGGAGAGGAGAGUGGAAUUCCAUGUGUAGCGGUGAAAUGCGUAGAUAUAUGGAGGAACACCGGUGGCGAAAGCGGCUCUCUGGCCUGUAACUGACGCUAAGGCUCGAAAGCGUGGGGAGCAAACAGG